rnacentral:rRNA from 1 species
AGCCCAAACCAUCCAUGUUACGGCAUGUGUGGGGUUGUAGGACUACGCCGUUGCAUGAAGACAUCAGAGAAGAACUUUCUGGAAAGAAAGACCAUAGAGCAUGACAGUUGCGUAUUCGAAUGUUGUCGAAGCAUAGUAGUAUCCUGAGUAGCGCGGAGCACGAGGAAUUCUGCGUGAAUCUGCCGGGACCAUCCGGUAAGGCUAAAUACUCCCGAGAGACCGAUAGCGAACCAGUACCGUGAGGGAAAGGUGAAAAGCACUUCGAACAGAAGAGUGAAAUAGUUCCUGAAACCGUGCGCCUACAAGCGGUCGGAGCUCGUUAAUGAGUGACGGCGUGCCUUUUGCAUAAUGAACCUACGAGUUGCCUUUGCCGGCAAGGUUAAGUGUGACGACACACGUAUCCGAAGCGAAAGCGAGUCUGAAUAGGGCGUAUAGUCGGCAGUGGCAGACGCGAAACCAAGUGAUCUACCCUUGGCCAGGUUGAAGGCUGGGUAACACCAGCUGGAGGACCGCACCAAUAAGCGUUGAAAAGCUUCUGGAUGAGCUGAGGGUAGGGGUGAAAGGCUAAUCAAACUUGGAGAUAGCUCGUACUCCCCGAAAUGCAUUUAGGUGCAGCCUUGCGGGUUACUGAUGUGAGGUAGAGCGACUGAUAAGAUGCGAGGGCUUCACCGCCUAUCAAGUCUUGACAAACUCCGAAUGCGCAUCAGUUCUACCGCAGGAGUGAGGGCAUGGGUGCUAAGGUCCGUGCCCGAGAGGAGAAGAAUCCGGACCACCUGCUAAGGUCCCGAAAUGACAGCUAAGUUAAACUAACGAAGUCUGACUGCUAAGACAGCUAGGAUGUUGGCUUGGAAGCAGCCAUUCAUUUAAAGAGUGCGUAACAGCUCACUAGUCGAGGAGUCGGGCGUGGAUAAUAAUCGGGUAUCAAGUUGUCUACCGAAGCAGUGGGAUCAUUUAUAUGAUCGGUAGGGGAGCAUUCCAGUCAGCGUCGAAGGCGUACCGUGAGGUAUUCUGGAGCGUCUGGAAAAGCAAAUGUAGGUAUAAGUAACGAUAAAGGGGGCGGGAAACCCCCUCGCCGAAAGACUAAGGUUUCCUGAUCAACGCUAAUCGGAUCAGGGUCAGUCGGGUCCUAAGGCUCAGCCGAACGGCGAUGCCGAUGGCAGAAACGGUUAAUAUUCCGUUACUACCUUCAGGAGUGACGUGGAGACGCAGUAGUGACAGUGCCGCCAUCUGACGGAAUAGAUGGUUGAAGGGUGUAGGAGUCGAUCAUGGCAGGCAAAUCCACCAUGAGAUCCGAACCUGACAGUAUGCCGCGUCCUUCGGGACAAGGCAAUAGUGCGCGUAAGCAUGCUGCCGAGAAAAUCCGCUAAACUUAAUCCUGGAGGUACCCGUACCGCAAACGGACACACGUAGUCGGGAUGAAUAUUCUAAGGCGCUUGAGUGAUUCACGGUUAAGGAACUAGGCAAACUGACCCUGUAACUUCGGGAUAAAGGGUCCCUACCCUUUUAUGGGAGGGCGCAGAGAAUCGGUCCAGGCAACUGUUUAACAAAAACACAGGGCUGUGCCAAAUCGAAAGAUCCAGUAUACAGCCUGACACCUGCCCGGUGCUGGAAGGUUAAGAGGAGAUGUCAUCGAUGAGAGAAGCGUUGAAUUGAAGCCCCAGUAAACGGCGGCCGUAACUAUAACGGUCCUAAGGUAGCGAAAUUCCUUGUCGGGUAAGUUCCGACCUGCACGAAUGGUGUAAUGAUCUGGACGCUGUCUCAACCGUGAGCUCAGUGAAAUUGUAGUAUCGGUGAAGAUGCCGAUUACCCGCGAUGGGACGAAAAGACCCCGUGAACCUUUACUAUAGCUUAUCAUUGAAUCUGGGCACGUGAUGUGUAGGAUAGGUCGGAGGCUUUGAAGCAGGUACGCCAGUAUUUGUGGAGCCGCUGUUGAAAUACGACCCUUUAUUUGUUUGGAUUCUAACCCGUGGAACGGGGACAUUGAUUGGUGGGUAGUUUGACUGGGGUGGUCGCCUCCAAAAGCGUAACGGAGGCUUCUAAAGGUGCCCUCCGGCCGAUUGGUAACCGGCCUUAGAGUGUAAUGGCAUAAGGGCGCUUGACUGGGAGACUAACAAGUCGAUCAGGUAGGAAACUAGAGCAUAGUGAUCCGGUGUUUCC